CAGGUGCUGCAUGGCUGUCGUCAGCUCGUGUUGUGAAAUGUUGGGUUAAGUCCCGCAACGAGCGCAACCCUUAUCCUUUGUUGCCAGCGGUCCGGCCGGGAACUCAAAGGAGACUGCCAGUGAUAAACUGGAGGAAGGUGGGGAUGACGUCAAGUCAUCAUGGCCCUUACGACCAGGGCUACACACGUGCUACAAUGGCGCAUACAAAGAGAAGCGACCUCGCGAGAGCAAGCGGACCUCAUAAAGUGCGUCGUAGUCCGGAUUGGAGUCUGCAACUCGACUCCAUGAAGUCGGAAUCGCUAGUAAUCGUGGAUCAGAAUGCCACGGUGAAUACGUUCCCGGGCCUUGUACACACCGCCCGUCACACCAUGGGAGUGGGUUGCAAAAGAAGUAGGUAGCUUAACCUUCGGGAGGGCGCUUACCACUUUGUGAUUCAUGACUGGGGUGAAGUCGUAACAAGGUAACCGUAGGGGAACCUGCGGUUGGAUCACCUCCUUACCUUAAAGAAGC
rnacentral:rRNA from 1 species